GUGGGGAAUCUUAGACAAUGGGGGAAACCCUGAUCUAGCCAUGCCGCGUGAGCGAUGAAGGCCUUAGGGUUGUAAAGCUCUUUCAGCUGGGAAGAUAAUGACGGUACCAGCAGAAGAAGCCCCGGCUAACUCCGUGCCAGCAGCCGCGGUAAUACGGAGGGGGCUAGCGUUGUUCGGAAUUACUGGGCGUAAAGCGCGCGUAGGCGGACCAGAAAGUUGGAAGUGAAAUCCCAGGGCUCAACCUUGGAACUGCCUUCAAAACUCCUGGUCUGGAGUUCGAGAGAGGUGAGUGGAAUUCCGAGUGUAGAGGUGAAAUUCGUAGAUAUUCGGAGGAACACCAGUGGCGAAGGCGGCUCACUGGCUCGAUACUGACGCUGAGGUGCGAAAGCGUGGGGAGCAAACAGGAUUAGAUACCCCAGUAGUCC
rnacentral:rRNA from 1 species